AUGAUUCAGCCCUGCCUUAGAGGGGAAUAGAGCAGAUAUGCAAAUGGUGCCUCAACUUGCCAUAGAAAUGUCCUCCAGAGUACUGUGAGAUGACAAGGCUGCAGAGCACAGGAUGCUGCCAUCGUGCCAGAAGCACCAGUACCUGCAGCAGCUGCUUUGCACAUCCCCUGCUGUGCAAAUUGCCCUUCACAGAGGCAGAUCUUCCUGUCAGUGACUGAUGAGAGGUGCCAGGAGCAGAGCUUAUGCACAGUAAGUUUGUGUUCUGAAGGCUAAAAUUCCCUUUGCCUUGCUAUAAGGAUGAUGGAGAGUGAGAAGAAAACCCCGGUACUCACAGGUGACAAUGUUUUACUAACUGGAAGAAAAAACUUCCCUAUGAAAAGCUUGCUGAGAACUGGCCCCACUGUUGGAAUCGGUAAAAAUUUUGCUGUGGAGCUGAACAGCACCAAGCACAACCAAGUGGCACUUCAGUUAAGAACAGCUUUUAAAAAGUUUUAGGGAAGGAUUUUUUUCAUAUGAAUUUAUAAGUGCUAUGGAUAAGAAAAAGAUACUGAAUCUUAAAUGUCCAUGUACCCAAAAAAAAGUAGCAGAUUACAAUCUCCUGGACUUGAGCUGAUAGUACCCCAUUUUAGCUAACUCUGUCCAUGUGCAUUCUGUGAGAGGUAGAUGGUUGUAGCUGCGCACCCCAGAAGAAAAGGAAAUGUUGACCUAAAUACCUUUGAGGCCUCCACGCUUCAUAACUUUAGUUUCUGCAGCACAGUCCAAAAUCUUUUUAUUCUAUAAUGAUUAUAAUUUUGAAGAUGUUAAAGGCUGGAAUUUAAAUAUUUGAAGAAAAAAAAAAAAUACUGUAGGCUGCCUCCUGCACCUGCUUAUACUUGCAUAGAAGUCCAGUGAAGUGAAUGAAAAUGUCUAUUUAAAUGUAAUCUAGUGAAGGAAAUGUAAAUAUGCCUAUUUACGUAAAGAUUGAAUCUGGUCCAGGAUGGGUGCUUCUUCACAUAAAGAUAAGACUUAGUAAAGGCAAGUAAGUUUUUAAUUUAAUAAUAUUUUGUGUAAUUACUUCAAUAAUGUUAUUGUGUAAUUACUUCAUGUAAUGCAUGGUUUGAUUCAGCAUACUUUCUCAGCAAACUGAGGAUAGAAAUGUGGGCUGCUUAGAUGGCUGGGAAUAGACUGUAUAAAUAAAAGAA